UACAGAGGUCCCAAGCGUUGUUCGGAUUCACUGGGCGUAAAGGGUGCGUAGGCGGCCGGGUAAGUCUAAUGUGAAAUCCCGCAGCUCAACUGCAGAACUGCAUCGGAUACUCUCCGGCUAGAGUUCGGUAGGGGAGACUGGAAUUCCUGGUGUAGCGGUGAAAUGCGCAGAUAUCAGGAGGAACACCGAUGGCGAAGGCAGGUCUCUGGGCCGAUACUGACGCUGAGGAGCGAAAGCGUGGGGAGCGAACAGG
rnacentral:rRNA from 1 species